rnacentral:tRNA from 1 species
GCCUGGGUGGCUCAGUCGGUUUGAGUGUCUGACUUCAGCUCAGGUCAUGAUCUCGCAUCUUGUGAGUUUGAGCCCCACAUCAGGCU